rnacentral:sRNA from 1 species
GUUAUUUAAAGAAUAAAUGGUAUCAGAUAUUCUGGGAAACCCUGUAUCUUUAAAUUUGCAUGCAUGUACAUUGUAUAUUUAUUGUAAGUAUAAAUUAAUGGAGCUGUUAUAAACUGCAGUACAAUGUAAAGGGGGUUUCAAAUUGGACUUCCAAUGUCCGUUAUUUGCCUUUGUGGCAUUGAUUAAAUCUAUGUAAUUUGUUGACAUAUACUGUUGAUAAUUACAAGUAUUGUGGGGGUGGAAAGAUUUAUUGUAAACUUUAUAUACAUGUAUGCCAAAAAAAAUUUUUCUAGAAAUUUAAAUGCUGGUUUGUUAUUGUUUGAAUAAAAUAAAUUGACUAAAAUCUU